rnacentral:rRNA from 1 species
GGAAAUCUGAUCCACUCCUGCCGCGUGCAGGAAGACGGCCCUAUGGGUUGUAAACUGCUUUUGUAUGGGAGSAAUAAUGUCUAUGCGUAGACUGGUGAGAGUACCAUACGAAUAAGCAUCGGCUAACUCCGUGCCAGCAGCCGCGGUAAUA